rnacentral:rRNA from 1 species
AUUGAACGCUGGCGGCAGGCCUAACACAUGCAAGUCGAGCGGAUGAAGGGAGCUUGCUCCUGGAUUCAGCGGCGGACGGGUGAGUAAUGCCUAGGAAUCUGCCUGGUAGUGGGGGAUAACGUCCGGAAACGGGCGCUAAUACCGCAUACGUCCUGAGGCAGAAAGUGGGGGAUCUUCGGACCUCACGCUAUCAUAUGAGCCUAGGUCGGAUUAGCUAGUUGGUGGGGUAAAGGCCUACCAAGGCGACGAUCCGUAACUGGUCUGAGAGGAUGAUCAGUCACACUGGAACUGAGACACGGUCCAGACUCCUAAGGGAGGCAGCAGUGGGGAAUAUUGGACAAUGGGCGAAAGCCUGAUCCAGCCAUGCCGCGUGUGUGAAGAAGGUCUUCGGAUUGUAAAGCACUUUAAGUUGGGAGGAAGGGCAGUAAGUUAAUACCUUGCUGUUUUGACGUUACCAACAGAAUAAGCACCGGCUAACUUCGUG